CCGUGCCCAAGAGAUCGGGAUAACACCUGGAAACAGAUGCUAAUACUGGAUAACAACAGAUGAUGCCUAUCAACUGUUUAAAAGAUGGUUCUGCUAUCACUCUUGGAUGGACCUGCGGUGCAUUAGCUAGUUGGUAGGGUAACGGCCUACCAAGGCGAUGAUGCAUAGCCGAGUUGAGAGACUGAUCGGCCACAUUGGGACUGAGACACGGCCCAAACUCCUACGGGAGGCAGCAGUU
rnacentral:rRNA from 1 species